CCCCUCUCAGAGUCACACCUGGAGAGUUUCCAGUACUCUACCAGUCUUGACUAUGAGAGGGACAGUCAAGCAGAAGUAUAUCCAUUCCAUUCCUAGUUUGAGCAGUGGUUAGUGAGUGAAGGCAAUCUGCUAUAAGU